GAAAAGGUGGUUGUGGAAGCCAAAGAUGUUGUUGUAUCAAUUGUUGUUGUGGUGUCAGGCAUAGUUGUGGUUGCUGCAUCAGAUGUUGAUGCUGGUGCUAUAGUGGUCGAUAUCAGAGGUGUGGUUGUGGAAGCCAAAAUUGUUGUUGCAUCAGUUGUUGUUGUGGUGUCAGACAGAGUUGUGGUUGCUGUUUCAGUUGGUGAAAUUGGUGCAAUAUUAGAGGAUGUUGGAGCGGUGGUUGCGAGAGCCAAAGUUGUUGUUGUAUCAGUUGUUGUUGUUGUGGUGUCAGACAGAGUUGUUGUUGAUGCAUCAGUUGUUGUUGAAACUGGCACUACAGUUGAGGAUGUUGUAGGAGUGAUUGUGGAAGCCAAAUUUGUUGUUGUAUCAAUUGUUGUUGUGGUGUCAGGCAUAGUUGUGGUUGCUGCAUCAGAUGUUGAUGAUACUGGCACUACAGUUGAGGAUGUUGUAGGAGUUGUUAUGGAAGCCAAAUUUGUUGUUGCAUCUAUCAUUGUUGUGGUAUCAGGAAUACUUGUGGUUGCUGCAUCAGAUGUUGCUGACGUUGGUUCAACCGUAGAGGAUGUUGCAAAGGUGGUUGUGGAAGCCAAAACUGUUGUUGCAUCAGUAGAUGUUGGGGUGUCAGGCAGAGUUGUGGUUGAUUCAUCAGUUGUUGACGUUGGUCCUACUGUCGAAGAUGUUGGAGGGGUGGUUGUGGAAGUCACAAUUGCAGCACCAGUAGUUGUUGUGGUGUCAGGCAGAGUUGUGGUUGAUGCAUCAGUGGUUGACAUUAGAUGGGUGGUUUUGGAAUACAAAGUUGUUGUUGCAUCAGUAGUUGUAGUGGUGUCAGACAGAGUUGUUUUUGAUUCAUCAGUUGUUGUUUUUGACACUGAUGCUAGAGUUGAGGGUGUUGGAGUGGUGGUUGUGGUUGCUAAAGUUGUUGUUGCAUCAGAUGUUUUUGUGGUGUCAGACAGAGUUGUGGUUGCUACAUCAGAUGUUGAUGCUGGUGCUAUAGUGGUCAAUGUCAGAGGUGUGGUUGUGGAAGCCAAAACUGUUGUUGCAUCAGUUGUUGUUGAUGUGGUGUCAGACAGAGUUGUUGUUGAUGCAUGAGUUGUUGUUGAAACUGGCGCUACAGUUGAGGAUGUUGUAGGAGUGAAUGUAGAAGCCAAAGUUGUUGUUGCAUCUAUCAUUGUUGUGGUAUCAGGAAUACUUGUGGUUGCUGCAUCAGAUGUUGUUGACGUUGGUUCAACCGUUGAGGAUGUUGAAAAGGUGGUUGUGGAAGCCAAAGAUGUUGUUGUAUCAAUUGUUGUUGUGGUGUCAGGCAUAGUUGUGGUUGCUGCAUCAGAUGUUGAUGCUGGUGCUAUAGUGGUCGAUUCAGAGUUGUGGAAGCCAAAACUGUUGUUGCAUCAGUUUUUGUUGUUGUGGUGUCAGACAGAGUUGUUGUUGAUGCAUCAGUUGUUGUUGAUACUGGCACUACAGUUGAGGAUGUUGUAGGAGUUUUAUGGAAGCCAAAUUUGUUGUUGCAUCUAUCAUUGUUGUGGUAUCAGGAAUACUUGUGGUUGUUGCAUCAGAUGUUGUUGACGUUGGUUCAACAGUUGAGGAUGUUGGAAAGGUGGUUGUAGUAGCCAAAGAAGUUGUUGUAUCAAUUGUUGUUGUGGUGUCAGGCAUAGUUGUGGUUGCUGCAUCAGAUGUUGAUGCUGGUGCUAUAGUGGUCGAUGUCAGAUGUGCGGUUGUGGAAGCCAAAACUGUUGUUGCAUCAGUUUUUGUUGUUGUGGUGUCAGACAGAGUUGUUGUUGUUGCAUCAGCUGUUGUUGAUACUGGCACUACAGUUGAGGAUGUUGUAGUAGUGAUUGUGGAAGCCAAAUUUGUUGUUGCAUCAGUUGUUGUUGUGGUGUCAGACAGAGUUGUGGUUGCUGCAUCAGUUGUUGUUGAAACUGGCACUACAGUUGAGGAUGUUGUAGGAGUGAUUGUGGAAGCCAAAUUUGUUGUUGCAUCUAUCAUUGUUGUGGUAUCAGGAAUACUUGUGGUUGCUGCAUCAGAUGUUGUUGACGUUGGUUCAACCGUUGAGGAUGUAGAAAAGGUGGUUGUGGAAGCCAAAGAUGUUGUUGUAUCAGUUGUUGUUGUUGUUGUGGUGUCAGACAGAGUUGUUGUUGAUGCAUCAGUUGUUGUUGAAACUGGCACUACAGUUGAGGAUGUUGUAGGAGUGAUUGUGGAAGCCAAAGUUGUUGUUGUAUCAGUUGUUGUUGUGGUGUCAGGCAGAGUUGUGGUUGAUGCAUCAGUGGUUGACAUUAGAUGGGUGGUUUUGGAAUACAAAGUUGUUGUUGCAUCAGUAGUUGUAGUGGUGUCAGACAGAGUUGUUUUUGAUUCAUCAGUUGUUGUUUUUGACACUGAUGCUAGAGUUGAGGGUGUUGGAGUGGUGGUUGUGGUUGCUAAAGUUGUUGUUGCAUCAGAUGUUUUUGUGGUGUCAGACAGAGUUGUGGUUGCUACAUCAGAUGUUGUUGACGUUGGUUCAAACUUUGAGGAUGAUGGAAAGGUGGUUGGGGAAGCCAAAGAUGUUGUUGUAUCAAUUGUUGUUGUGGUGUCAGGCACAAUUGUGGUUGAUGCAUCAGUGGUUGACAUUAGAGGGGUGGUUGUGGAAUCCAAAUUGUUGUUACAUCAGUAAUUGUAGUGGUGUCAGACAGAGUGGUGGUUGCUGUUUCAGUUGUUGAAAUUGGUGCAAUAUUAGAGGAUGUUGGAGCAGUGGUUGUGAGAGCCAAAGUUGUUGUUGUAUCAGUUGUUGUUGUUGUUGUGGUGUCAGACAGAGUUGUUGUUAAUGCAUCAGUUGUUGUUGAUACUGGCGCUACAGUUGAGGACGUUGUAGGAGUGAUUGUGGAAGCCAAAGUUGUUGUUGCAUCUAUCAUUGUUGUGGUAUCAGGAAUACUUGUGGUUGCUGCAUCAGAUGUUGUUGACGUUGGUUCAACCGUUGAGGAUGUUGAAAAGGUGGUUGUGGAAGUCAAAGAUGUUGAUGUAUCAAUUGUUGUUGUGGUGUCAGACAUAGUUGUUGUUGAUGCAUCAGUUGUUGUUGAUUCUUGCGCUACAGUUGAGGAUGAUGUAGGAGUGAUUGUGGAAGCCAAAGUUGUUGUUGCAUCUAUCAUUGUUGUGGUAUCAGGAAUACUUGUGGUUGCUGCAUCAGAUGUUGUUGCUGGUGCUAUAGUGGUCGAUGUAAGAGGUGUGGUUGUAGAAGCCAAAACUGUUGUUGCAUCAGUUGAUGUUGUUGUGGUGUCAGACAGAGUUGUUGUUGAUGCAUCAGUUAUUGUUGAAACUGGCGCUACAUUUGAGGGUGUUGUAGGAGUGAAAGUGGAAGCCAAAGUUGUUGUUACAUCUAUCAUUGUUGUGGUAUCAGGAAUACUUGUGGUUGCUGCAUCAGAUGUUGGUGACGAUGGUUCAACCGUUGAGGAUGUUGAAAAGGUGGUUGUGGAAGCCAAAGAUUUUGUUGUAUCAAUUGUUGUUGUGGUGUCAGGCAUAGUUGUGGUUGCUGCAUCAGUUGUUGUUGAUACUGGCGCUACAGUUGAGAAUGUUGUAGGAGUGAAAGUGGAAGCCAAAGUUUUUGUUGCAUCUAUCAUUGUUGUGGUAUCAGGAAUACUUGUGGUUGCUGCAUCAGAUGUUGUUGACAUUAGUUCAACCGUUGAGGAUGUUAGAAAAGUGGUUGUGGAAGCCAAAGAUGUUGUUGUAUCAAUUGUUGUUGUGGUGUCAGGCAUAGUUGUGGUUGCUGCAUCAGUUGUUGUUGAUACUGGCGCUACAUUUAAGGAUGUUGUAGGAGUGAUUGUGGAAGCCAAAGUUGUUGUUGCAGCUAUCACUGUUGUGGUAUCAGGUAUACUUGUGCUUGCUGCAUCAGUUGUUGUUGAUAUUGGCACUACAGUUGAGGAUGUUGUAGGAAUGAUUGUGGAAGCCAAAGUUGUUGUUGCAUCUAUCAUUGUUGUGGUGUCAGGAAUACUUGUGGUUGCUGCAUCAGAUGUUGUUGACGAUGGUUCAACCGUUGAGGAUGUUGAAAAGGUGGUUGUGGAAGCCAAAGAUAUUAUUGUAUCAACUGUUGUUGUAUCAAUUGUUGUUGUGGUGUCAGACAUAGUUGUUGUUGAUGCAUCAAUUGUUGUUGAUACUGGCGCUACAGUUGAGGAUGUUGUAGGAAUGAUUGUGGAAGCCAAAGUUGUUGUUGCAUCUAUCAUUGUUGUGGUAUCAGGAAUACUUGUGGUUGCUGCAUUAGAUGAUGUUGACGUUGGUUUAACCGUUGAGGAUGUUGAAAAGGUGGUUGUGGAAGCCAAAGAUAUUAUUGUAUCAAUUGUUGUUGUAUCAAUUGUUGUUGUGGUGUCAGACAUAGUUGUUGUUGAUGCAUGAGUUGUUGUUGAAACUGGCACUACAGUUGAGGAUGUUGUAGGAAUGAUUGUGGAAGCCAAAGUUGUUGUUGUAUCAAUUGUUGUUUUGGUGUCAGGCAUAGUUGUGGUUGCUGCAUCAGAUUUGAUGCUGGUGCCAUAGUGGUCAUGUCAGAGGUGUGGUUGUGGAAGAGAAAAUUGUUGUUGCAUCAGUUGUUGUUGUGGUGUCAGCCAGAGUUGCUGUUGAUGCAUCGGUUGUUGUAGCAAAAGUUGUAGUUGCAUCAAUAGUUGUUGUGGAGUCAGCUGUAGUUGUGGUUGCUCCCUCUAUUUUUGACACUAUAGUUGAGGAUUUUGGAGGGGUGGUUGUGGAAGCCAAACUUGUUGCAUCAGUAGUUAUUGUGGCGUCAGACAGCGUUGUGGUUGAUGCAUCAGUUAUUGAUGCUGGUUCUAUAGUUGAGGAUGUUGGGGGGGGGGUUGUGUAAGCCAGCUUUUUUGUUGAAUAAAUAGUUGUUAUGGUGUCAGGCAUAGUUGUGGUUGAUGCAUCUGUUGUUGACAUUGGAAUGGUGGUUGUAGAAGCCAAAUUUGUUUUUCUAUCAAUAGUUAUAGUGGUGUCAAUUAUUGUGGUUACUGCAUCAGUUGUUGAAGUUGCUGCUGUAUUUGAGGAUGAUGGAGGAGUUGUUGUGGAAGCCAUAUUUUUUGUUUCAUCUGUAGUUGUAGUACUGUCAAACAGAGUUAUUGUUGCUUCAUCCGUUGUUGUUGAUGUUGGUACUACAGUUGAAUAUGAUGGAGAGGUGGUGUCUGUAUCAGUCAUCAAUUUUGGUGCUAUAGUUGAGGAUGCUGAAAACAUGCUUUUUGUAUCCAAAGUUGUUGUUUCCAUUAUAGUUGUAGUUGUAUAAAUUGUUUUUGAUUGGGCUGUUUUUGUGUCUUUUGGAUCCUUUUUUUUUGUGAUUUCAGAAAUUGGUGUUGAUGUUAAAUCUUGAAUUUUUAUUGUUGAUUGCACAUCUUUUGCUGUAGAAGCCCCGGUUUCUGUAGUAACUGGUGUGGUAUAGUCUGAUGUCCUUCGACCUGAUUCUGUAGAUUUUCCAAGUCCUGUCGUACAUCCAUAAACCAUCCACCAGAUACAGACUGUGAAAAGAGAUAUUUCAU
ensembl:lncRNA